rnacentral:rRNA from 1 species
GAGUUUGAUCAUGGCUCAGAACGUACGCUGGCGGCACGCCUAACACAUGCAAGUCGAACGAAGUAGCAAUACUUAGUGGCAGACGGGUGAGUAACAUGUAGGUAUCUGCCCUUUGGCCUGGAAUAACACGAGGAAACUUGUGCUAAUACCGGAUAAGUCUUUACGGAGAAAGCUUUAUGCACCAUUGGAUGAGCCUGCACUUGAUUAGUUUGUUGGUGGGGUAAUGGCCUACCAAGACUGUGAUCAAUAGCUGAUUUGAGAGGAUGAUCAGCCACAUUGGGACUGAGACACGGCCCAAACUCCUACGGGAGGCAGCAGUGGGGAAUCUUGCACAAUGGAGGAAACUCUGAUGCAGCGAUGCCGCGUGAGUGAAGAAGGCCUUUGGGUUGUAAAGCUCUUUCGUCGGGGAAGAAAAUGACUGUACCCGAAUAAGAAGGUCCGGCUAACUUCGUGCCAGCAGCCGCGGUAAUACGAAGGGACCUAGCGUAGUUCGGAAUUACUGGGCUUAAAGAGUUCGUAGGUGGUUGAAAAAGUUAGUGGUGAAAUCCCAGAGCUUAACUCUGGAACUGCCAUUAAAACUUUUCAGCUAGAGUAUGAUAGAGGAAAGCAGAAUUUCUAGUGUAGAGGUGAAAUUCGUAGAUAUUAGAAAGAAUACCAAUUGCGAAGGCAGCUUUCUGGAUCAUUACUGACACUGAGGAACGAAAGCAUGGGUAGCGAAGAGGAUUAGAUACCCUCGUAGUCCAUGCCGUAAACGAUGUGUGUUAGACGUUGGAAAUUUAUUUUCAGUGUCGCAGGAAACCGAUAAACACACCGCCUGGGGAGUACGACCGCAAGGUUAAAACUCAAUGAAUUGACGGG